AAGAAGUAGGAGCGAACCUUCUUAGUCUAGCCUCUACCGUUCGAGGAGGAGAUAGGCGGGGUCAGAGGUGUGGGGACGAGUAGGGAUAGGACUUCGAGAGUAGGUCGCUUAGGAGGGGUAGAGAGAGUGGACGACAAGAUGAGCGGCCGCAGCUAGAUGAGGCUGGAUAGCGGCCGCUAAGACGAACGGCGAGGACCUCGCCGGGUGGUAAGGCGUUUUUUUACAGCCUACUUCCGUCAACACGCCGCCUGUGCCCACUACUCUUUGAAGAUUGACUAUCGCUCCUAAGUCGAGUCUCACCACAGGCGGGUAACGGCGUUCGUGGUUGAAGGACAUACAGAUAGUUCGUACAACAGCUCCAGUAAGUCUGAAAGUUGCUCAUGUUCGCUAAAGAACAAUUCUCGUAACCCAAACCACCUUACGAACUAGAGGUUUACGACGUCUUUAAUUUAAAAUUUAAGUCGCGGACCUGUUACUCGUUUCAUUCGUGGUGGACGCCCGGUAGCAGGACCGACUCUUGUUUUACGACGGUGAUCAGUUGAUAUGUAGCUGGAGGGUGUGCUACGACGGUGUUGACAAAAGCCGGCCUCCUCAUUACUAGAAGGGCCAGCGUUCAUACAUAGAGCAGAACCUAAGGUCUGUCUGGGGACCACGUCCCCUCAACAGGGACCACGUCCCCUCAACAGGGCAUGGGUAGUGUUCGACCACAACGAGUUGAUUAACUUGUAGUGAAGUACUGGCGACAUCUAUCGCUCGAUCGCCCCUUGAAAUAACAAGUGCUCCUCGGUUCUAAAUAAUCACAGUGCCCAAAACAGUAUGCGCCAGUCGAGCAACCGUUGUUGUAUUAACCAGUACUUGACUACAGGUAAGAAAGGCAGCCAAACGAGUUGAACUAAUAGUUCGGCUCAGGCUCUUGGGCAUGAAUUCGACCUCCGUGGGUUAACUUGGACUUAAGAGGCCUUCGAAGAAUCAAGUGAUGGGCACUGUAGAAGGUGGUAAGAAGGUCUACAUAAUAAACUUAAGUCAAAAGUGAAAUAAGGUAAAAAACAAAUGGUACGCGGAGCUACACGUUCGUCUGAGAACACAACAGACUAAGGCUGAAGAACGUGUGCCACAGCUAGGUCUUCAUCGAGAGACGACUAAGAGACUUCAUACUAGAUUGUAGCAGGGUUUACAAGUAGUGACGUCAGGAAUUAGUUACAGGAACUAGGAGACAUAGUGUUUUUACGUAGCCGAGAAUGCGUAUUCCUAGCGUUAGUUCGUUGACGAACCUUCGAGGUGUCACGUAAUAAGCGUACGGAGGUACUUAAGAUACCGCCUACCGGUAGCCAGUUCCUUUUGACCGCCUACUUCGUACCUGGAUGCUGUCUACGGUAUAAAAGGAGGCGACUCAGUCCACGUACGCGGUAUGUGUAACGAGCUGUCAAACUACCCCUCUUCGAAUUAAUUCAAUUGUGAAUGGUUCGGUUUGUAAAACUUUUGGUUCUUGCUACGGAACGUACUUACGAACUUCGAUGCCCCGUUGAAGAGUCUUGAAAGGGUGUUCCGUGACACCUUCCAAAAUCGCCCUAGGCUGAGGCGGAAGCUACUGAUCCCCACCCCGGACGUAAAGCAUAUGUCGACUGUUUUGUUAGUUCAGGGUGCACAGCAUCAAAUAAGCAGGGGUAGAGCAUCUCACGAAAACCCAACAUUCAAGAACGAAAACCGAAAAGCCUAAAGUAUAGACUAACUUGGUACAUUAAAUGUAUUACUACGUAUAGUAGACAAGUGGCAUGGGAAUUUGCUGUAAGUGGACCAACACGAUACCGUACAAUAUAUUUAGAGCAAAAUAGAUACAAAUAAUACUCG
rnacentral:rRNA from 1 species